rnacentral:rRNA from 1 species
AUUGAACGCUGGCGGCAUGCCUUACACAUGCGAGUCGAACGGUAACAGGUCUUCGGAUGCUGACGAGUGGCGAACGGGUGAGUAAUACAUCGGAACGUGCCCAGACGUGGGGGAUAACGAGGCGAAAGCUUUGCUAAUACCGCAUACGAUCUAAGGAUGAAAGCAGGGGACCGCAAGGCCUUGUGCGUUUGGAGCGGCCGAUGGCAGAUUAGGUAGUUGGUGGGAUAAAAGCUUACCAAGCCGACGAUCUGUAGCUGGUCUGAGAGGACGACCAGCCACACUGGGACUGAGACACGGCCCAGACUCCUACGGGAGGCAGCAGUGGGGAAUUUUGGACAAUGGGCGAAAGCCUGAUCCAGCAAUGCCGCGUGCAGGAUGAAGGCCUUCGGGUUGUAAACUGCUUUUGUACGGAACGAAAAGGCUCUGGCUAAUACCUGGGGCACAUGACGGUACCGUAAGAAUAAGCACCGGCUAACUACGUG